AGAAUUGAAAACCAAACAAGCUAAUCUUAUCUAUAUUCAUAUCUGACCACUUUAAAUAAUUUUAACGAAUAAGGAGCAUACAACGAUGAGCUGGUUGCCUGUUUAAUAUAGGGCACCUGGUGGCCACAAGGUAAACGGACCGUUUACCUGUUACAGUACGGAUUUGCUUUUUAAUUUAAUGUGAACUUGUGUUCUAUCCUAAAUAUGAUGGUGAUAUUUGCCAUUACUCUUGCAUUCUAUGGUGGGGGUUUUUCUUUGACAUCAGUAGAAUCUUCAAGUCCUCUUCACAUAAAACUUGGGAGUAAAUUGGUGAUACCGUGCGUGAGUAAUGGAAAUCAUCCAGAAUCUUUUACAUGGUUUUACUCAAAUCAUAGUGCUGGUGAGCACCGCAUCAAGUUUUUCAGUGAGGAUAAAACCGGCAUUCAGCGCACAGUCCAGGAUUUAUGGACUAGAAAGAUGGUUUUAGGGAAUCGUUCACUGGUUAUCAACCCUUUUACAGAGGAGGACCAAGGAAUAUACACAUGUGAAUUAAUUAAAAGGGACAAAAUAAGCGAUCAUCUGUCUUGGUCCAUUGUUCUUGAAAAAGAAACUCACUUGCCAGUAAUAACAACUUCGGCUGGCAAUCAUUUUAUGCAUGAAUCGACUACAAAAAUGGUUAGCAGCCCAUAUUACAAACUUGCCACAACUCUGACCAACACAAGCAAUAAAAGCAUAGGUGAGACCCACUUGUGGAAUAGUUCUUUGAGUCCAUGUCCAUUCUUUGUACACCUAUUUUAAAAUAAAUACCAUAUGUCUAAUAAUACUCCUGAUGUAAACAUAUACUGUCAUUUAAUUUAUCUUUCCAUCCCAUGGAUUUUUUUUUUGAAGAUUUGUACUCACACAGCCCUAAUUGACUGAUGAGAUCUAGAGCUCACAUCCUUACCCAGAUGAAUAGCUUCUUCAAAAAGCUCUUACAAAAAAGGCGUUGUCAUCAUUUUCACAAUUACAGUUUUAUUUCAACCUUUAUAGCAUGUUAGUAAAAAUGCAGGCUGCACUGAGGCAUGUCUUUAGAAACACAACACUUUUCCUGCCUCUUUUACAGACAAUGGGACUACUCCAUAUUGCAGAGAAACUCAAUGUCUGACAUCCGUUGCUGGAAUCUCAGCAGCUGGGUGCCUUUUUCUACUUGCACUGUGUAUAUUAUGCCAAUUCAGAAGUAGAAUACUUUCAGCUUCUGCCAAUCAACUCUUUGUUGGCCAGACAACACGCUAUCAGGAAGAAGAUUCUGAAGUUGUUUAUUCGUCCUUGGUUGUCAGAAGACUCCAACAGAGAGAUUGCAUUAGCAAUGAAAAUGACUGUGUGUA